GGGGGCGACAGGCUUCGACGGGGAUCAUGAGGCCAGGGUGGCAUGCCGAGCUCCGGGAACUCGUAAAAGUCCGGAAACAACAACUGCCAACCAAGAGCUGGCACUCGCUGCUUAAUUAAGCAGUGACGUCUCUCUCCUGACGCCUGCGCGGGGGAAGAGGCGACGAUAGCGGGCUGGUCCGGCGCCGGUGCUCAGCGGCGACGGGCGAGAGACACUGGGCUAGCAACCGUUCUAAGCCUGCCGACGGGCGUGGACGGAAGCGAAACCCCAAAUCGUCGGCUACGCAUGUAGAAGCCCUUCGCUGACGGUCUUCGGACAGGGGUUCAACUCCCCUCGCCUCCACCA
rfam:Nitrospirae bacterium 13_2_20CM_2_63_8 13_2_20cm_2_scaffold_16873, whole genome shotgun sequence.